rnacentral:rRNA from 1 species
UACGUAGGGGGCUAGCGUUGUCCGGAAUCAUUGGGCGUAAAGAGCGUGUAGGCGGCUCGGUAAGUCCGCUGUAAAAGUCAAAGGCUCAACCUUUGAAUGUCAGUGGAUACUGCCGGGCUAGAGUCCGGAAGAGGCGAGUGGAACUCCUGGUGUAGCGGUGGAAUGCGCAGAUAUCAGGAAGAACACCAACGGCGAAGGCAACUCGCUGGGACGGUACUGACGCCGAGGAGCGAAAGCGUGGGGAGCAAACAGG